rnacentral:tRNA from 1 species
GACCGCGUAGCUCAGUUGGAAGAGCAUUGGGCUGGUAUUCCAAAGGUCGUAGGUUCGAACCCCACCGUGGCCG